AUUGAACGCUGGCGGCAGGCCUAACACAUGCAAGUCGAACGAGUGGCGGACGGGUGAGUAAUGUCUGGGAAACUGCCUGAUGGAGGGGGAUAACUACUGGAAACGGUAGCUAAUACCGCAUACCAUCGGAUGUGCCCAGAUGGGAUUAGCUAGUAGGUGGGGUAACGGCUCACCUAGGCGACGAUCCCUAGCUGGUCUGAGAGGAUGACAAGACACAGUGGAACUGAGACAAGGGCCAGACUCCUACGGUAGGCAGCGGGGGGGAAUAUUGCACAAGGGGGGCAAGCCUGAGGUAGCCAUGCCGCGUGUAGGAAGAAGGCCUUCGGGUUGUAAAGUACGUUAAGCGGGGAGGCGUUACCCGCAGAAGAAGCACCGGCUAACUCCGUGCCAGCAGCCGCGGUAAUAC
rnacentral:rRNA from 1 species